rnacentral:rRNA from 1 species
UACAGAGGUCUCAAGCGUUGUUCGGCUUCAUUGGGCGUAAAGGGUGCGUAGGCGGCGCGGUAAGUCGGGUGUGAAAUCUUGGAGCUUAACUCCGAAACUGCAUUCGAUACUGCCGUGCUUGAGGACUGGAGAGGAGACUGGAAUUUACGGUGUAGCGGUGAAAUGCGUAGAUAUCGUAAGGAAGACCAGUGGCGAAGGCGGGUCUCUGGACAGUUCCUGACGCUGAGGCACGAAGGUCAGGGGAGCAAACGGG